rnacentral:lncRNA from 1 species
CCACUCCUGAGCAUUUCAGGUGCCUCAAAAGGACAGUUUAUUCCCCUUAAUGCACAAAAUACUGACUUUGCGGUUUGUCUUUUUGGCGGGGUGGGAUGGAGGGUCUGAGGAAAGCUGAGAUAGUCUUCAUGAAAGAGCAGCUAUGCAUGGCCCUGUAUGAUUUAGAUUACUAUGCAAACCAACAACUAUUUUUGGACGAUGGAAUUAAUUAUUUACACAGGGGGAAUUUGCCAUUCUUUAGCUUGGUUCUGUCCUGCUGUUUAUGUUACACAAUCACAAACCGUGUGAAUACUGUUUUAGGCAUACAUCACCAAGAAUUCUUACAUCAGGAAAGUAAUCAUAUUAUCUAGGAUUGUUGGCUCCAGGGAAACUUGUUUAGCCAAAUUCUCGCACUUUAAAAAAUAACUGAAAAAUUCAUGGGAACGGCUCCCCAUUGUCCAUUCCAGUCUUCUCAUUACCCUGCAUUUAAUCGCCAUGGGUCUCCUACAUCUGCGUUGGUCUCUUAACAGGGCUAAUAGUAAUAAAUUCAAGUUUUGGUUUUUUGCUUACAACUGCCAUUUCCAAGUCCUGCCGUGUCUGCAGAAAGAAAUUAAGGGGUUGGAUAGUUUUCCGAUAUUAUUCAAAGCUGUUCAUAAUUCUGUCGUUGAGAAUCGCUCCCUUCAGCACACCCAUUGCUGCCGCCUCUCGGCUGGGUAAAAGAGUCUCCGGGCCAAGCCAGGUUGCUCAGGGCCAGUUCGCGCUCUUGUGCCUUGGCGCUCGGAUUGUCCUAGCCCUCUCGUCGGUUUCCAGUAGGUCUCCGAAAAUUUUUGAUUGCGUGAAGCCGGUGGCAUUUCCGCGCGCCGAUGGAAAGGGAUCAAACUCAGGACCUUGUGCUUGCCAGGUAGGCAUGGUGCCACUGAGCUACAUCCCCAGCCCACCCCUACUCCACUCUUUACAAAU